AAUAAGAGAAUGACAAAUCAGAUUUUUCCUUCUGAUUUUUAAUAUUUUUAGUUGAACUUGAAUAUUUUCAGGAGGAAAAAUCUGAUUUGUCAUUCUCUUAUU
rnacentral:pre_miRNA from 1 species